GAUGAACGCUGGCGGCGUGCCUAAUACAUGCAAGUCGAGCGAACAGACGAGGAGCUUGCUCCUCUGACGUUAGCGGCGGACGGGUGAGUAACACGUGGAUAACCUACCUAUAAGACUGGGAUAACUUCGGGAAACCGGAGCUAAUACCGGAUAACAUGUUGAACCGCAUGGUUCAACAGUGAAAGACGGUCUUGCUGUCACUUAUAGAUGGAUCCGCGCCGCAUUAGCUAGUUGGUAAGGUAACGGCUACCAAGGCAACGAUGCGUAGCCGACCUGAGAGGGUGAUCGGCCACACUGGAACUGAGACACGGUCCAGACUCCUACGGGAGGCAGCAGUAGGGAAUCUUCCGCAAUGGGCGAAAGCCUGACGGAGCAACGCCGCGUGAGUGAAGAAGGUCUUCGGAUCGUAAAACUCUGUUAUUAGGGAAGAACAAAUGUGUAAGUAACUAUGCACGUCUUGACGGUACCUAAUCAGAAAGCCACGGCUAACUACGUG
rnacentral:rRNA from 1 species